rnacentral:rRNA from 1 species
GAUGAACGCUGGCGGCGUGCCUAAUACAUGCAAGUAGAACGCUGAAGGAAGGAGCUUGCUCUUUCCGGAUGAGUUGCGAACGGGUGAGUAACGCGUAGGUAACCUGCCUGGUAGCGGGGGAUAACUAUUGGAAACGAUAGCUAAUACCGCAUAACAGUAGAUGUUGCAUGAUAUCUACUUAAAAGGUGCAAUUGCACCACUACCAGAUGGACCUGCGUUGUAUUAGCUAGUUGGUGAGGUAACGGCUCACCAAGGCGACGAUACAUAGCCGGCCUGAGAGGGGGAUCGGCCACACUGGGACCGAGACACCGGCCAGACUGCUACGGGAGGGAGCAGUAGGGAAGCUUGGGGAAUGGAGGGAAGUCUGACCGGGGAACGCCGCGGGAGUGAAGAAGGGUGUCGGAUCGGAAAGCUCUGUUGUAAGGGAAGAACGAGUGUGGGAGGGGAAAGUGCACGCUGUGACGGUAGCUAACCAGAAAGAGACGGCUAACUACGUG